GAAAUGCGAUAAGUAGUGUGAAUUGCAGAAUUCAGUGAAUCAUCGAAUCUUUGAACGCACAUUGCGCCCUCUGGCAUUCCGGGGGGCAUGCCUGUCCGAGCGUCAUUACGCACCCUCAAGCCCGGCUUGUGUGAUGGGCCCCGGCUUCUCGUUCGCGAGACGGGCCCGAAAGGCAGCGGCGGCGUCGACCCGAUGAGCCCGAGCGUAUGGGGACUUCUGUCACACGUUCGCGGUGCGGACCGGCGCCUGCUUUGACUUUUCUGAUUAUCCAGGUUGACCUCGGAUCAGGUAGGGAUACCCGCUGAACUUAAGC
rnacentral:misc_RNA from 1 species